rnacentral:ncRNA from 2 species
AAGAAGUAGCGAAGUACGGGUGCCCUUAACCUUUAAAGGGUAAAGGGUUAAAAGGGAAGCCGGUGAGAAUCCGGCGCGGUCCCGCCACUGUGAAGGGGAGGGCCUUACAUUUAGGUCACUGGGGUUUUAAGCCCUGGGAAGACGUAAGGUUCCGGUGAACCUGAGCCAGGAAACCUGCCCGUUGACUUUUAGCUUG